rnacentral:rRNA from 1 species
GCAUAUCAAUAAGCGGAGGAAAAGAAAAUAACCAUGAUUCCCCUAGUAACUGCGAGUGAAGAGGGACAAGCUCAAAUUUUAAAUCUGUUAGGUUUUUACCUGACCGAGUUGUAAUUUGAAGAGGUGUUUUCCGCGUUUUUGGUCAGUCCAAGUCCUUUGGAAUGAGGCAUCAUGGAGGGUGAGAAUCCCGUUCGGCUGAUCAGAUUCGUUUUACGAUACACCUUCAAAGAGUCAAGUUGUUUGGGAUUGCAGCUUAAAAUGGGAGGUAAAUUUCUCCUAAGGCUAAAUAUUGGCGAGAGACCGAUAGCGAACAAGUACCGUGAGGGAAAGAUGAAAAGUACUUUGAAAAGAGAGUUAAAUAGCACGUGAAAUUGUUGAAAGGGAAACGAUUGAAGUCAGUCAUACUGACGGGUAAUCAACCUUUCGGGCGCGAUUAUGUGGCGCGUGUUGGAGCCUAACCGGUCCUCAUGUUUGCAUAUUUGUUUCCCUUGGGUGUACUUGCCCGUGUGGUAGGUUAACAUCAAUUUCGGACGUCAUAAAAUGACGGGAGGAAUGUAGCUUUGGUCUCGUACUGAAGUGUUAUAGACUCUGGUAGAUGUGACGUUCGGGAUUGAGGAUUGCAACGGAUACCCUUCGGGGCUACCCGCCUGGCCUCUGAUGGUCGCCGUGGUGCCGAAAGCUUGCUUACGGUUAUCAAGGUUGGUUGUCAAAAGGUUAGAACGGGUUAAAUUCGUUAAGGAUGUUGACGUA